AAAGUACUCCCUCCGUUCCAAAUUACUCGUCGAUGAAAUGGAUGUAUUUAGAACUAAAAUACAUCUAGAUACAUCCAUACGUGCGACAAGUAAUUCGGAACGGAGGGAGUAUAUC
rfam:Triticum aestivum genome assembly, contig: Triticum_aestivum_CS42_TGACv1_scaffold_147153_2BS